CUCAAAAAAAUCCACACGUAGAUGCUACGUGAAAAAUCACGUAACCCCAAUUUUCCCCUCCAUAGGCCCGUUUUACGUGACACACGUAAAAAUAAUGUGAAAGUGUACUGGCAAAAAAAUGAUUUCACGUUGAUGUUACGUGAAAAACCUUAUAGUAUUUUUCCACCGGGAGUAUUCACAUAGCUUCUAUAUGUGUUGUCACGUAACAUCGACAUGAACAUAUCUUUGGGUUGUUGGUUGAUCAAAUUUACGUGAUCAAGUUAGUAUGAAAAAAGUUCUCGUCCAAGAAGGAGCGCGGUGGCGAAUCUGAUGAAUCAUUCAGAUUAGCUCCAACGAAAUAUUCAACAACCAACGGUAACAGGAUUUUGAAUCCGCGAUAACCGAUCGAAAAAAAAGCCUCAACAAGUUGGGAACGUUAACCUACUGCUCCAUCUAAAACGUUCCCCGGCCCACAAAGAAAAGCUCAAUCCAGUUCCGCGGUCUUUCUGGUGACAAACCGGUGAUCUGGUGACCAAAAUGGUCCAGCAAGAGAUAGAACCUGUAUGUAGACGUUUAGAAUCAACCUCCGAAAGGCGAGUCUGGCCGUCGGCAACGAGAUCGAGAUCACCAAGGCAAGGACGAUCUCAAGCCCGGAUGAGACGAUCCCACAGCCGAACCGGAAGCUGCAUGCAGCAUCUACACCAGAUGGUUCAAUCUCGCUGGCCGUUCCGUUCCGCGUCUUAUCGUUUCGACUCUGCUGGCGUUCAGCAGGUUUCGGCUGAUUGCAUCCUGAUGAUGAAGGCUAAAGGCUAGUGAAAUAGUGAAUUUGAAUUAUUUUAGGAAAGUUACUGUAGAAAACCAAACAAUGAAUAAACAAUAAAAAAAUGAUUAUUUUGCUCUU